GCUCCCACUUCUCCGGGGCGAUCGCCGCCUGGGAGGCGCAGCAGGGCAAGUCCUGGGCAGCGGCUCUUCCAGAGCUUUCUGCGGGCUCUGCGUCACCCUCCGGAGUGAGCCGCCGCCGCGGGGGGGCCGCAGGUCAUCAAACAUUUGUUGUGCAUCUACGCCCUAGGGCGUGCGAGGUACUCUGGACAGAGAUGACAGUCCUUUCUGGAGGAACUCAGAGUCUGGUAGAGAAGAUGGAUCACACAUGUACCUGUGUGAGAAGCACCCUCUGAAGGGAGCACACCAGGGCAUGGGGAGUCCAGCAAGCUGCACCGCCGCCAUCCCAGCCACCAUCA